GAACGAGAAAGUGGAGCAAUCCAUGAGUAAAGUGGCGACCGGGUGAGUAACACGUGACUAACCUACCUUCGAGUGGGGGAUAACCUCGGGAAACCGAGGCUAAUACCGCAUAACAUCGCAAGAUCAAAGCAGCAAUGCGCUUGAAGAGGGGGUCGCGGCUGAUUAGCUAGUUGGCGGGGUAACGGCCCACCAAGGCGAAGAUCGGUAUCCGGCCUGAGAGGGCGCACGGGCACACUGGAACUGAAACACGGUCCAGACUCCUACGGGAGGCAGCAGUGGGGAAUUUUGCGCAAUGGGGGAAACCCUGACGCAGCAACGCCGCGUGGAGGAUGAAGCCCCUUGGGGCGUAAACUCCUUUCGACCAAGACGAUAAUGACGGUACUGGUGGAAGAAGCACCGGCUAACUCUGUG
rnacentral:rRNA from 1 species